rnacentral:rRNA from 1 species
UUGAAGAGUUUGAUCAUGGCUCAGAUUGAACGCUGGCGGCAGGCCUAACACAUGCAAGUCGAACGGUAACAGGAAGCAGCUUGCUGCUUCGCUGACGAGUGGCGGACGGGUGAGUAAUGUCUGGGAAACUGCCUGAUGGAGGGGGAUAACUACUGGAAACGGUAGCUAAUACCGCAUAAUGUCGCAAGACCAAAGAGGGGGACCUUCGGGCCUCUUGCCAUCGGAUGUGCCCAGAUGGGAUUAGCUAGUAGGUGGGGUAACGGCUCACCUAGGCGACGAUCCCUAGCUGGUCUGAGAGGAUGACCAGCCACACUGGAACUGAGACACGGUCCAGACUCCUACGGGAGGCAGCAGUGGGGAAUAUUGCACAAUGGGCGCAAGCCUGAUGCAGCCAUGCCGCGUGUAUGAAGAAGGCCUUCGGGUUGUAAAGUACUUUCAGCGGGGAGGAAGGGAGUAAAGUUAAUACCUUUGCUCAUUGACGUUACCCGCAGAAGAAGCACCGGCUAACUCCGUGCCAGCAGCCGCGGUAAUACGGAGGGUGCAAGCGUUAAUCGGAAUUACUGGGCGUAAAGCGCACGCAGGCGGUUUGUUAAGUCAGAUGUGAAAUCCCCGGGCUCAACUCGGGAACUGCAUCUGAUACUGGCAAGCUUGAGUCUCGUAGAGGGGGGUAGAAUUCGGGUGUAGCGGUGAAAUGCGUAGAGAUCUGGAGGAAUACCGGUGGCGAAGGCGGCCCCCUGGACGAAGACUGACGCUCAGGUGCGAAAGCGUGGGGAGCAAACAGGAUUAGAUACCCUGGUAGUCCACGCCGUAAACGAUGUCGACUUGGAGGUUGUGCCCUUGAGGCGUGGCUUCCGGAGCUAACGCGUUAAGUCGACCGCCUGGGGAGUACGGCCGCAAGGUUAAAACUCAAAUGAAUUGACGGGGGCCCGCACAAGCGGUGGAGCAUGUGGUUUAAUUCGAUGCAACGCGAAGAACCUUACACGGUCUUGACAUCCACGGAAGUUUUCAGAGAUGAGAAUGUGCCUUCGGGAACCGUGAGACAGGUGCUGCAUGGCUGUCGUCAGCUCGUGUUGUGAAAUGUUGGGUUAAGUCCCGCAACGAGCGCAACCCUUAUCCUUUGUUGCCAGCGGUCCGGCCGGGAACUCAAAGGAGACUGCCAGUGAUAAACUGGAGGAAGGUGGGGAUGACGUCAAGUCAUCAUGGCCCCUUACGACCCGGGGGCUACACACGUGCUACAAUGGCGCAUACAAAGAGAAGCGACCUCGCGAGAGCAAGCGGACCUCAUAAAGUGCGUCGUAGUCCGGAUUGGAGUCUGCAACUCGACUCCAUGAAGUCGGAAUCGCUAGUAAUCGUGGAUCAGAAUGCCACGGUGAAUACGUUCCCGGGCCUUGUACACACCGCCCGUCACACCAUGGGAGUGGGUUGCAAAAGAAGUAGGUAGCUUAACCUUCGGGAGGGCGCUUACCACUUUGUGAUUCAUGACUGGGGUGAAGUCGUAACAAGGUAACCGUAGGGGAACCUGCGGUUGGAUCACCUCCUU